rnacentral:rRNA from 1 species
GAGUGAAAUAGAACCUGAAACCGUGUGCUUACAAGUAGUCAGAGCCCGUUAAUGGGUGAUGGCGUGCCUUUUGUAGAAUGAACCGGCGAGUUACGAUUUGAUGCAAGGUUAAGCAGUAAAUGUGGAGCCGUAGCGAAAGCGAGUCUGAAUAGGGCGUUUAGUAUUUGGUCGUAGACCCGAAACCAGGUGAUCUACCCUUGGUCAGGUUGAAGUUCAGGUAACACUGAAUGGAGGACCGAACCGACUUACGUUGAAAAGUGAGCGGAUGAACUGAGGGUAGCGGAGAAAUUCCAAUCGAACCUGGAGAUAGCUGGUUCUCUCCGAAAUAGCUUUAGGGCUAGCCUCAAGUGAUGAUUAUUGGAGGUAGAGCACUGUUUGGACGAGGGGCCCCUCUCGGGUUACCGAAUUCAGACAAACUCCGAAUGCCAAUUAAUUUAACUUGGGAGUCAGAACAUGGGUGAUAAGGUCCGUGUUCGAAAGGGAAACAGCCCAGACCACCAGCUAAGGUCCCAAAAUAUAUGUUAAGUGGAAAAGGAUGUGGCGUUGCCCAGACAACUAGGAUGUUGGCUUAGAAGCAGCCAUCAUUUAAAGAGUGCGUAAUAGCUCACUAGUCGAGUGACACUGCGCCGAAAAUGUACCGGGGCUAAACAUAUUACCGAAGCUGUGGAUUGUCCUUUGGACAAUGGUAGGAGAGCGUUCUAAGGGCGUUGAAGCAUGAUCGUAAGGACAUGUGGAGCGCUUAGAAGUGAGAAUGCCGGUGUGAGUAGCGAAAGACGGGUGAGAAUCCCGUCCACCGAUUGACUAAGGUUUCCAGAGGAAGGCUCGUCCGCUCUGGGUUAGUCGGGUCCUAAGCUGAGGCCGACAGGCGUAGGCGAUGGAUAACAGGUUGAUAUUCCUGUACCACCUAUAAUCGUUUUAAUCGAUGGGGGGACGCAGUAGGAUAGGCGAAGCGUGCGAUUGGAUUGCACGUCUAAGCAGUAAGGCUGAGUAUUAGGCAAAUCCGGUACUCGUUAAGGCUGAGCUGUGAUGGGGAGAAGACAUUGAGUCUUCGAGUCGUUGAUUUCACACUGCCGAGAAAAGCCUCUAGAUAGAAAAUAGGUGCCCGUACCGCAAACCGACACAGGUAGUCAAGAUGAGAAUUCUAAGGUGAGCGAGCGAACUCUCGUUAAGGAACUCGGCAAAAUGACCCCGUAACUUCGGGAGAAGGGGUGCUCUUUAGGGUUAACGCCCAGAAGAGCCGCAGUGAAUAGGCCCAAGCGACUGUUUAUCAAAAACACAGGUCUCUGCUAAACCGUAAGGUGAUGUAUAGGGGCUGACGCCUGCCCGGUGCUGGAAGGUUAAGAGGAGUGGUUAGCUUCUGCGAAGCUACGAAUCGAAGCCCCAGUAAACGGCGGCCGUAACUAUAACGGUCCUAAGGUAGCGAAAUUCCUUGUCGGGUAAGUUCCGACCCGCACGAAAGGCGUAACGAUUUGGGCACUGUCUCAACGAGAGACUCGGUGAAAUCAUAGUACCUGUGAAGAUGCAGGUUACCCGCGACAGGACGGAAAGACCCCGUGGAGCUUUACUGUAGCCUGAUAUUGAAAUUCGGCACAGCUUGUACAGGAUAGGUAGGAGCCUUUGAAACGUGAGCGCUAGCUUACGUGGAGGCGCUGGUGGGAUACUACCCUAGCUGUGUUGGCUUUCUAACCCGCACCACUUAUCGUGGUG